CACGGACCAAGGAGUCUG
rnacentral:snRNA from 1 species